rnacentral:rRNA from 1 species
AGUACGGUCGCCAAGGCCGGAAUGCCAAAGGGAAUUGACGGGGCGCCCGCANAACCGGUGGAAGNAAUGUGGUAAAUCGAAGCCAAACGCGCAAGACCCUACCCUGCCUGUGAACAUGCCAGUGAACUGUCCAGAGAUGGAAUUGGGCACUUCGGGGAACACCUGGAGACAGGUGCUGCAUGCUGUCGUCAGCUCGUUUUCGUGAGAUGUUGGGUUAAGUCCCGCAACGAGCGCAACCCUUGUCCUUAGUUGCCAGCACGUAAUGGUGGGAUCUCUAAGGAGACUGCCGGUGACAAACCGGAGGAAGGUGGGGAUGACGUCAAGUCAUCAUGGCCCUUACGGCCAGGGCUACACACGUACUACAAUGGUGGGGACAGAGGGUCGCGAGGCCGCGAGGCGGAGCCAAUCCCAGAAACCCCAUCCUAGUCCGGAUCGGAGUCUGCAACUCGACUCCGUGAAGUCGGAAUCGCUAGUAAUCGCAGAUCAGCAUUGCUGCGGUGAAUACGUUCCCGGGCCUUGUACACACCGCCCGUCACACCAUGGGAGUGGGUUGCACCAGAAGCAGGUAGUCUAACCGCAAGGGGGACGCUUGCCACGGUGUGAUCAUGACUGGGGUGAAGUCGUACAAGUANCCGUAUGGGAAGUGCGGCUGGACACCUUAAUCAUCUGAUGCAUUCGCGAGACCGAUAG